rnacentral:rRNA from 1 species
GGGGAAUAUUGCGCAAUGGGGGAAACCCUGACGCAGCGACGCCGCGUGAAGGAAGAAGGCCUUCGGGUUGUAAACUUCUUUGAUCGGGGACGAAGAUGACGGUACCCGAGGAACAAGCCACGGCUAACUACGUGCCAGCAGCCGCGGUAAAACGUAGGUGGCUAGCGUUGUCCGGAAUUACUGGGCGUAAAGGGCGUGUAGGCGGGGGUGCAAGUCAGGUGUGAAAUACCGCGGCUCAACCGCGGGGGUGCAUCUGAAACUGCAUCUCUUGAGUGCCGGAGAGGAAAGCGGAAUUCCCAGUGUAGCGGUGAAAUGCGUAGAGAUUGGGAGGAACACCAGUGGCGAAGGCGGCUUUCUGGACGGCAACUGACGCUGAGGCGCGAAAGCGUGGGGAGCAAACAGGA